rnacentral:rRNA from 1 species
GACGAACGCUGGCGGCGUGCCUAAUACAUGCAAGUCGAACGCAGUGGGGGCGGGUGAGUAACACGUGGGUAACAUCACAUCAGAGGGGAUAAAACGUGGAAACAGGUGCUAAACCGAUACUGAUGGAUGGACCCGCUGUGCAUUAGCUAGUUGGUGAGGUAACGGCUCACCAAGGCCACGAUGCCUAGCCGGCCUGAGAGGGUGAUCGGCCACACUGGGACUGAGACACGGCCCAGACUCCUACGGGAGGCAGCAGUAGGGAAUCUUCGGCAAUGGGCGAAAGUCUGACCGAGCAAGGCCGCGUGAGUGAAGAAGGUUUUCGGGUCGUAAGAUUCUGUUGUUAGAGAAGCGGUAUCUAACCAGAAAGCCACGGCUAACUACGUGCCAGCAGCCGCGGUAAUAC